GGGUUAGUAGGUUGGUCAUGCCUAUGGUAUGCACUGGUCUCACUGAUUCCUCCUUCCUGAUGAGCCGUAAUGCCAUUAAUUUGGUGUUGCGGGGAAUUUGGACUGUUACUUUGAAAAAAUUAGAGUGUUUAAAGCGAGCUAGUGCUUGAAUAGAUUAGCAUGGAAUAAUAAAAUAGGACGUUCGAUCCUAUUUUGUUGGUUUCUAGGAUUGACGUA
rnacentral:rRNA from 1 species